UACGAAGGGUGCAAGCGUUAAUCGGAAUUACUGGGCGUAAAGGGUGCGUAGGCGGUUGUUUAAGUCUGUCGUGAAAUCCCCGGGCUCAACUUGGGAAUUGCAAUGGAUACUGGCAGGCUGGAGUAUGGUAGAGGAAGGUGGAAUUCCCGGUGUAGCAGUGAAAUGCGUAGAGAUCGGGAGGAACACCAGUGGCGAAGGCGGCCUUCUGGACCAAUACUGACGCUCAUGCACGAAAGCGUGGGGAGCAAACAGG
rnacentral:rRNA from 1 species